rnacentral:lncRNA from 1 species
GCAGCAGCAGAUCUCCCCGCUUUGUGCGGCCGCGCGGCCCGGAGAGCCCCCUCCUCCCGGCCCGGCUGACCGCCCCGCUCGGCCUGGCCUUCCCGGCCACGAAAGACGAGGGUUGGGGGCAUAGCAGGGUGAGAGUAGUGGUGAGGGCUGGUGUGGCACGUGGGGAGGGGGCCAGAGCCCUAGGUGCUGCACCUGGGGAAGGAGAGCAGACGUCGGGACCGGGGAUCCCAGGGUUAGCUAGCGUUUUCCCGGAAGGGCAAGAAAAGAUGCUCCACUGGCCCCCACAAAGCUGACCGGACUCCCUUUUGG